rnacentral:rRNA from 1 species
CCGAUGGAGGAAAGGAUAGACAAGCAAGAUAAGAAGCGUACAAAUUAAACGAGAGCGAACCGUCAACGAGAGUUGAGAAGGUAAAGCUUCUGUUGGUAAAAUAUCGACAAGGCGCUUGCGCUAAAUCAAAAGAAUUUUACUACGGAGAGUUUGAUCCUGGCUCAGGAUGAACGCUAGCGGGAGGCCUAAUACAUGCAAGUCGAACGGCAGCGGUUGUAGCAAUACAAGCCGGCGAGUGGCGCACGGGGUGAGUAACGCGUACGCAACCUACCCCUUACCGGGGCAUAGUCACGGGAAACUGUGAAUAAUUCCGUAUGAGGUUGAGUUUCCGCAUGGGAGCUUUACCAAAGUCUUCGGGCGGUAAGGGAUGGGCGUGCGUCUGAUUAGCUAGUUGGUAGGGUAACGGCCUACCAGGCUACGAUCAGUAGGGGCGUGAGAGCGUGGCCCCCCACACGGGUACUGAGACACGGACCCGACU